UGGUCUCUCAUGAUUUGUCUUCCUUCAUCUGAAGAGGGCAUGCCCAUCGGUUCCUCCUGCAGCCUCCCCCCCUCCUGCUAUGCUCAGAAAGCCAAACCGAGGACAAUCUUGAAAGGUACCCGUUCCCGGGGAUUUGCUGUUGCUGCCUCCGCCGCCUCUCCGGCUGCCGCGGUGCAGUGCCAGGACUCGGGGAAUAAAUUCAAGCGGGCUCCCGGGUCUGUGUAGCCAGCUGCCGAUUGCCUCGCGGUGGUCAUUUCUGGCGAAGAUCACCAAUGAGGUGGAAGCUCUGCCCGGCGGCUUCCCAGACCCAUCGCGGGCGAUUGGCUUUCUUUUUUUAAAGUGGCAAUUUAUUGAUCUUGUUUUCCCAAAGCAAAGCGAUGGGGGAGAAAGGAGAAAAUGAAGGGAAAGGAGUGACCAUAAAUCCUUUUUAAAGCCCCCAUCAAUCUCUGCCCUCCACCCCCUCCCUCGGCUCACAGACACGGCGGUUCUCGGAGGAGGAGGGGGCUUUUUUGGAGAAGGAGGAAGCGGCGAGUCGGGGAGGGGGGGAAUCUCUCCCCCCGUUUGGAGAUGGUCGUGCUAGUCCUCUUUGCCUUAAUCUGGAUGGUGGAGGGAGCCCUGGCGCAGCUUCACUACACCGUGCAAGAAGAGCAGGAGCAUGGCACUUUCGUGGGGAAUAUCGCCGAGGAUCUGGGCUUGGACAUUACAAAACUUUCGGCUCGCCGCUUCCAGACAGUGCCCAAUUCGCGGAGCCCUUACCUGGACCUCAACCUGGAGACCGGAGUGCUGUACGUGAACGAGAAGAUCGACCGCGAGCAAAUCUGCAAGCAAAACCCGUCGUGCCAGCUGCACCUGGAAGUCUUCCUGGAAAACCCGCUGGAGCUCUUCCGCGUGGAGAUCGACGUGCUCGACAUCAACGACAACCCUCCCGCCUUCCCCGAGCCCGACCUGACGGUGGAGAUUUCCGAGAGCGCCACGCCGGGCACCCGCUUCCCGCUGGAAAGCGCCUUCGACCCGGACGUGGGCACCAACUCGCUGCGCACCUACGAGAUCACCCCCAACAGCUACUUCUCGCUGGACGUGCAGACGCAGCCCGACGGCAACCGCUUCGCUGAGCUGGUGCUCUCCAAGCCCCUGGACCGUGAGCAGCAGGCGGUGCACCGCUACGUGCUGACCGCCGUCGACGGCGGGCAGCCUCAGCAGCGGACCGGCACAGCCCUGCUCACCAUCCGGGUGCUGGACUCCAACGACAACGUGCCCGCCUUUGAACAGCCCGUCUACACCGUCUCCCUGCCGGAGAACUCGCCGCCCGGCACGCUGGUGCUGCAGCUCAACGCCAGCGACCCGGACGAGGGCCAGAAUGGCGAGAUCAUCUACUCGUUCAGCAGCCACAUCUCGGCCCGCGCCCGGGAACUCUUCGGCAUCUCGCCGCGGACCGGCCGCCUGGAGGUCAACGGCGAACUGGACUACGAGGAGAGCAGCGUCUACCAGGUGUACGUGCAAGCCAAGGACCUGGGGCCCAACGCCGUGCCCGCCCACUGCAAGGUCUUGGUGCGGGUGCUCGACGCCAACGACAACGCGCCCGAGAUCAGCUUCUCCACCGUCAAGGAGGCCGUGAGCGAGGCGGCGGCGCCCGGCACCGUAGUGGCUCUCUUCAGCGUCUCAGACCGCGACUCUGAGGACAAUGGGCAAGUGCACUGCGAGCUGCUGCAGGGCGACGCGCCUUUCCGCCUCAAGAGCUCCUUCAAGAACUACUACACCAUCGUCACCGAGGGGCCCCUGGACCGCGAGCAGCCCGGCGGCGACGCCUACACGCUGACGGUGGUGGCGCGGGACCUGGGCGAGCCGCCGCUGAGCACCAGCAAGUCCAUCCAGGUGCGCGUCAGCGACGUGAACGACAACGCGCCCAGCUUCUCGCAGCCCGUCUACCAGGUGUACGUGAGCGAGAACAACGUGCCCGGAGCCUACAUCUACGCGGUCAGCGCCAGCGACCGCGACCAGGGCGCCAACGCGCAGCUGGCCUACUCCAUCCUGGAGAGCCAGAUCCAGGGCAUGUCGGUCUUCACCUACGUCUCCAUCAACUCCGAGAACGGCUUCCUCUACGCCCUGCGCUCCUUCGACUACGAGCAGCUCAAGGAGUUCAGCUUCCAGGUGGAAGCCCGCGACGCCGCCGCCGCCGCCGGAGGAGGAGGAGGAGGAGGCGGCGAGGAGGCCAACGGCGGCGAGGAGGAGGCGCUGGCCGGCAACGCCACCGUCAACAUCGUGGUGGUCGACCAGAACGACAACGCGCCCGCCAUAGUCAGCCCGCUGCCCGGGCGCAACGGCACGCCGGCCCGGGAGGUGCUGCCCCGCGGCGCCGAGCCCGGCUACCUGGUGACCCGCGUGGCGGCCGUGGACGCGGACGACGGCGAGAACGCGCGCCUGACCUACAGCAUCGUGCGGGGCAACGAGGCCAGCCUCUUCCGCAUGGACUGGCGGACCGGCGAGCUGCGCACAGCGCGCAAAGUGCCGGCCAGGCGCGACCCGCAGCGCCCCUUCGAGCUAGUCAUAGAAGUGCGCGACCACGGCCAGCCGCCGCUCUCCUCCACCGCCGCCCUCCACGUGCUCCUGGUGGACAGCGCCGUCGAGCGGCAGGGGGCGGGCGCGGGCGGCGGCGGAGGGGCGGGCGGCGGCGCGGGGCUGGGCCCCGGCGGGGCGGGAGGGCCGGGCGGCGAGCACCGGCCCAGCCGCUCGGGGGGCGGCGGCGGCCACGGCGAGACGUCCCUGGACCUGACGCUCAUCCUCAUCAUCGCGCUGGGCUCGGUCUCCUUCAUCUUCCUGCUGGCCAUGAUCGUGCUGGCCGUGCGCUGCCAGAAGGAGAAGAAGCUCAACAUCUACACGUGCCUGGCCAGCGACUGCUGCCUGAGCUGCUGCUGCUGCUGCCCCUGCUGCAGCCGCCAGGCGCGGGCCCGCAAGAAGAAGCUCAGCAAGUCCGACAUCAUGCUGGUCCAGAGCUCCAACGUGCCCAGCAACCCGGCCCAGGUGCCCGUCGAGGAGUCGGCCAGCUUCGGCUCCAAUCACCACAACCAGAACUACUGCUACCAGGUCUGCCUCACGCCCGAGUCGGCCAAGACCGACCUGAUGUUCCUCAAGCCCUGCAGCCCGUCCCGCAGCACCGACGCCGAGCACAACCCCUGCGGGGCCAUCGUCACCGGCUACACCGACCAGCAGCCCGACAUCAUCUCCAACGGCAGCAUACUGUCCAGCGAGAAUAAACACCAGCGUGCAGAGCUCAGUUAUCUAGUUGAUAGACCACGGCGGGUAAACAGUUCUGCAUUCCAGGAAGCAGACAUUGUAAGCUCUAAGGACAGUGGUCAUGGAGACAGUGAGCAAGGAGACAGCGAUCAUGACGCCACUAAUCGAGGUCAAUCCUCUGGCAUGGAUCUCUUCUCUAAUUGCACGGAAGAAUGUAAAGCACUGGGCCACUCAGAUCGCUGUUGGAUGCCCUCUUUUGUCCCUUCUGAUGGACGCCAGGCUGCGGAUUAUCGCAGCAAUCUUCAUGUUCCUGGUAUGGACUCUGUUCCAGACACUGAAGUGUUUGAAACACCAGAAGCCCAGCCUGGGGCAGAGAGGUCCUUCUCCACCUUUGGCAAAGAGAAGGCCCUUCACAGCACUCUGGAGAGGAAGGAACUGGAUGGACUGCUGUCUAAUACACGAGCGCCUUACAAACCACCGUAUUUGACAGGACUCUUGUGCCUUUAGGAAUGGUGUAUCAGGCAGAAACACAAUAAGCAAAUGGCCUUGCCAUUUGUGGAUCUCAGAAUGGAUUAUAAAAGGAUAGUGAUUUAAGACCUGCAGAUCCCCUGUGAGAUAGCACGGAAAAGGAUAUGCUAGUCAAUUCUACGGGACUUACCUGAAGCAGCAUGAUUUGCACAAAAGUCGACCAACAAAAGCAUCAACUUUUCAACUUCAUUAUCUUGGCCAUCCAAUUCUGUGUUAACUGAAGAAUUACUGUGCUGUUGGAAACAUCAUGGCCAACAAUAGGACCUAACUGCUCUCAGCAGGCCUGAGAAAUGAGUUGAAAUGUAUGGAACUGUAGAAACUUCAAGAGGCAACUGAUUUUUGCCUCUCUGAUCAGUGUGUGCCUGUUUACAGCACUAUAUAGCUCUCUCUUUCUCUCUCUUUCUCUCUCUAAAAUGUCACUGAGCCCUUUAGAUGUUUAUAUUCGCCACAAGAAGCCAAUCGUACAGAUUUUAAAAAAAGGAAACAUGCAUUAUAAAUGCAAUAUCACUGUUUUAAACUUGACUGUUUUAUAUUAUUUUUGUGUGAUCAAGUGUCCCCCAAACUAUUCCAACUUUACAAAAGAAAUUGUGAACCAUGUUCUUUUCACCUGUGGGUCAUGAAAAUGUUGUUAAUCUAAAGACCCACAAAAUAUCAAAGACAUUAUGUAGUUUAUACACCGUGUUGCAAAGUGUUUACUGUACUAUUUCAAAGCUUCUAAAUAAAUAUAAAAUAUAUAUAUUAUAUUACAUAUAAUUUUCCGGGAAACGUGGUACCAUUUAGUUGAUUUUUAAAUGAAUUCAUACAGUCCUCACCAUACACUAAAGUGAGAAGGUAAUUCAGGGUCCUUAAAUUAUCCUUGCCUAAACAAUAAAAUAAAUCUUUAAUAAUACUUCCCCACUUUUGUACUUUGGUCAAUCCUGUUUGUCCUUGUUAAAAAAAAAAAAAAAGCUGUAAGCAGCAACAGUUUUUUUUUUUUCCUGAAAGUUGUACUGAAUUUUCAAUGCCAAAGAUACAGCUGUCAAUAAUUAUGAAAAUGAGCACUGACUAUGUACUAUCAAAAGUAUAUAUAUCAACCUCCAUUAUUUUAAUUCUAUUUCUAUGGCUUUUAAUUUGGAAUCAAAAAACUUUUUAUAAAGGCGCUAUAAACUCACAUGUAUAUGUUGUUGAAAAGUACACUGGGUGUCUGUACAUUUUGCAAUGUAAGAUAUAAUGUAAGCAGAGAUAACUAUUUUAAGGCAACAUUUUCCCUCCUCACCCAUAACUGAUAGCUAACAUUCAUCGUCCUUUUACAUUUUGUGCAAAUAUAUUUCUUCAUGCUGGCUUGCAGUAGUUUUUGAAAUAGACCAUUCUCAAAGACAUACAUGUCACCAAGCCAUUAAUUUGAAUUUGUCUCUUACAAAAAAAAAAAAAAAAGCAAUUUGAAGUUAGGACUAGACUGUACCAACUUCACUGGUAAUCAGUUUGGUCUCUCCUGUGUUAUUUUUGUAGUAAUUUCGUGACUUGACAAAUCUCAGAAAGGGUAUUUUUAUUAGAAAAUAAUAAAUUAUUCUAAAACUCAAAAUCUGGCAAAGUAAAGUUGAACUUUACUUUCAUGUUCUCUGACUAUAAGUACCAUUG